GCGGGGAUGCUGGAAUAGGCAGACAGGUAUGUUUGAGGGGCAUAUGAGAGUUAUCUCGUGUGGGUUCAAGUCCCACUCCCCGCACCA
rnacentral:tRNA from 1 species